rnacentral:rRNA from 1 species
AUUGAACGCUGGCGGCAGGCCUAACACAUGCAAGUCGAACGAGUGGCGGACGGGUGAGUAAUGUCUGGGAAACUGCCUGAUGGAGGGGGAUAACUACUGGAACCGGUAGCUAAUACCGCAUACCAUCGGAUGUGCCCAGAUGGGAUUAGCUUGUAGGUGGGGUAACGGCUCACCUAGGCGACGAUCCCUAGCUGGUCUGAGAGGAUGACCAGCAAACCGGGAACUGAGACACGGCCCAGACUCCUACGGGAGGCGGCAGUGGGGAAUAUUGCACAAGGGGGGCAAGCCUGAUGCAGCCAUGCCGCGUGGAUGAAGAAGGCCUCGGGGUUGUAAAGUACUUUCAGCGGGGAGGCGUUACCCGCAGAAGAAGCACCGGCUAACUACGUGCCAGCAGCCGCGGUAAUAC